rnacentral:snRNA from 1 species
GGAUGUGAGGGCAACCAGGUCAUGACGUCUCAAACACUAUUGCUGACCAGGGUUCAUUUGGCUCCUCUGGCUGGCUAAGCAGGUCCCCCAUCACCCUCACUACUCCAUGUGCAUCUCUCUGAAGAUACUUGUUUGGUUAAAGAGGAUGACCUUUCCCAAUUAGAAGCAAAUCUGCCUUCCUUUGACUGUCUAUGAGUACCUGCGCUUGCCUGACAGAACCUCCAAGCAAGCUCUCCUGGACUACAAGAGACCUUCUCCCCCCGCCGCCCCCCAGAACCUUGAAGCUGAGGUGCCAGGGCUUGCAGAAGAUGGCACAUAAUGGAUUCCCCUCAACAGCACCAUGGCAUUCAACUCUGGGAGCACAAGCCAGCCUGCUGUUCCUC